CAAGGCCCCAGUGGACUAACAGGAAGUAAAGGAUUUAAGGGUACAAGAGGAGAGGAGGGACCAAAAGGAAUACAAGGCCCCCGAGGAGAGAUGGGCAUGCCUGGACCACAGGGAUACAGAGGACAUCCUGUAAGAU